UUAUAUCACUGGGAAAACAGCUCUUGUAUCCUGAGAUUUUCUGUUUUAGGAAUCUUCUCAACUCUUGGAUGCCAAAAUUACUUGGUUUGUUGGGUGUAUCAACCCGUCCAGCCAUUCCUGGCUCCCUCUUGUGGUGCCAAACCGGUACUGCAGCAUCAGGAAGCAUCUCAUCCCCACUCGGUGCUCUGCCUCCAUCCACAAAGACAAGUGCCUUACAGACUUGUCACAUUCUAUGGGAUGCAGCAUGAAAAUCAGGAGGCAUCCUUUUUCUGCUGGGGGGUGGGGGGGAAAGUGGAAUAAAUAUGGAUCCUUCUCAUUUCGUAGGAGAAAUAAUAAUGAGCUGAAGAUGUGGUGAUUCACCUUGAUUUUCAUUCACCUCACUCCAGCUUGUAGGAGAAUCUAUGCCUCAUGCGUUCAUAUGAUGCUCAAGUCUGGAAUAGGCAAUUGGUUCCUUGUCCUGUGUUUACAUUUUAAAUCCAUUCUUUAUAUCUACAGGUACACAUUAAGGGAGUGGAUUUUGUUAACUGGUGAUUCAUAGUGGGCACUGAAGGCUCAAUAUAUCUGCCCUCAAGGAGCUCUUAGUCUCAAGGGGUUGACAGAUAAGUCAGUCAAUUAUCAUAAGAAGGUGUAAUAAGUUCAACAGUAGACGCAUGCUCAGCAGGCUUUGCAGACACAACGCAGCCCUUCGGCCAGGCCUGAAGGUCAGGGAAGGCUGUCCAGAGGACGCCAUGUAUGAGCUCGGUCUUGCAGACAAGUAGGAACUAGCCAAGCAAAACUGAGAAGUGUGUUCAAAGGAAGGGCCCAGUUCAACAAGCGCACGGAGUUUGGUCCGACUGGCAUGUUGGGGUUGGAGAGUUACUCAAAUGUCUGACCUGGUAGGGGCACAGUGUGCCGAACUCAGGAACUGGACCUUCAUUAUAAAGGCUGUGCGGGAGGAGUGAGUUAGGGUCCUAGGGCUGCUGUCACAAAGGACCACACACCGGGGCUUACAACAACAGAGCUUUACUGUCUUCCAGGUCUGGAGGUUGGAAACUGAAGGUUCAGGUAUCUGCAGGGCUGGAUUCUUCUGAGAGCGGUUCCUGUGGCAUUCUCCCUGUGUGCACGCCUGUGGACAUGGCUCCUUCAUCUAAGGGCAAAGUCAUAUUGGAUUAGAGCCUACCCUGAUGACCUCAUCUUCACUGGAUCGUCUGCAAAGACCCUAUUUACAAAUAAGGUCACAUUCACAGGUUCUGCGGGUUAGGACUUCAACACUUUUUGUGGGAAACACAACUCACCUCCAUAGGAGGGAGCACAGACUCUGAGUGGGCCGUCUGGCCCCAGGGAGGUCAACCAGAGAAGGUGGAUGGGUACAGCAGGUGGCCGGGCUCCGUUGUCGGUGGUGCUGCCUCGGGUGCGGUCCAGAAGCAGUUCUUCCCUACGCUGGGUUGCACAUCAAUUCUUCAAGUGGACCUGGAAUGUAGGAAUCGCCUCCCAGAAAACACUGCCAAAAAACAAUGACUUUUAAGCAAAAUAAAUCCAUAUUUCUCUGUCUACAUAGGUACAUAUAUUUGUUUCUAAAAAUUGAAAAAGAAAUUUGCCAGGAAAGAGUCUUAUCGACAUUGAAGAAAGACUCUUAGAGGAACCCAAAUUACAGGGCAUAGAGGGUGAGAAUGGCACUGACUUUGAUAGCAUGUGCUUAUCUAGAAGGUAUUCUAAACUUGACUUGUUUGCAGGAGGUACAUGAGAGAAUAUAACAGCUGAUGUGGCUCGACCACAAGACAGUGUCCAUUACUCAGCUCAGCUCAUCUCUGUCUAUACCAGUGAGCAACUCAGCCAUUUAAAAACAGCAGUUGCUGCUCAUGACCUGGUGUUUGCUACUCGCUCUUCUCUAGCUAAAGUCACCCAAGAUGUGCAUUUUCGGAUGAAGCCAACAUCGAAUGGGGCCCAGAGCAGCAGGGUGGAGAGCUGCAGUGGCUGCUAUAGCCAGGGAAGGCUGGAGCCACAUCGCAGAAGGGUGACUUCCCGUACAUGUGACUCAGCCUGGGAGCACCUGUUUCCUGUUUGAACAUUGGGAUAAAAAGUCCUUCACAGGAUUUUUCUGAGGAUAAAUGAGGAAAUGACAAGUAAAACAUAGAGUACAUUUUGGUGAUAAAAUAUUAAGUUGUUCAUGCAGUUCCACUGUGAAUGUGGAUGAGGCUCCCAACAGGGGUACCCACUCAGCACUCCUGCUUCAAGCACAGAAGGACCCUCUUCCCUCCUGUUUUCCUUGUAGGACCUGAGAAAUGAACAGCUCACAUCAUGGCUCAUGCGACCCAGGGGUGCAAGGAAGUGGUUGUGCUACAGCCUGUGGUUAAUGCAAAGAAAAAUGGAGUCAAUAUUUUCAUAUUGGAAAAUCUGAAUUUGCAGUAUCAAAAGUCAUUCACUUGUUCUCCUAGGCAACUAUCUGCGUCUUUUAAAAAUAUAUUUUUGUUUAUUCUU